GCAUUUGUUCCUUGGUGUGGGGACAGAGGGUGCCACACAAUGAGCAGAGUAUAUCCAGACAGGUUGUUUUCCAUUUGUCCUGGGGCCUGUCUCUAUAACUCUGCCACAUUU